AGCGAACGCUGGCGGCAGGCCUAACACAUGCAAGUCGAACGAAGUCUUCGGACUUAGUGGCGGACGGGUGAGUAACACGUGGGAACGUGCCUUUAGGUUCGGAAUAACUCAGGGAAACUUGUGCUAAUACCGAGUGUGCCCUUCGGGGGAAAGAUUUAUCGCCUUUAGAGCGGCCCGCGUCUGAUUAGCUAGUUGGUGAGGUAAAGGCUCACCAAGGCGACGAUCAGUAGCUGGUCUGAGAGGAUGAUCAGCCACAUUGGGACUGAGACACGGCCCAAACUCCUACGGGAGGCAGCAGUGGGGAAUCUUGCGCAAUGGGCGAAAGCCUGACGCAGCCAUGCCGCGUGAAUGAUGAAGGUCUUAGGAUUGUAAAAUUCUUUCACCGGGGAAGAUAAUGACGGUACCCGGAGAAGAAGCCCCGGCUAACUUCGUGCCAGCAGCCGCAGUAACAC
rnacentral:rRNA from 1 species